rnacentral:lncRNA from 1 species
GUGUUCGGAUCCCUGACGCCGGAGUUGGGACGGAAGAGGGCGUAGUCCAGGGAGAUGCCACUGGGGUCGGCCUUGUAGGCGAAGAAGGGGUAGGAGUUGAUGAAGAACGGGGACUUGAUCUGCGCGUGGAAGUUGAGGAGGGGCUGGAGGUACUCGGCCAGAUCUGCCCGGAAGGUGCCGGCGGAAGGGGGAAAGCUGGUCUGCAAUAUGGCGAAGGAAUGCGCGGUGGUCACGUUCACCUGCUUGUCCAGGCCGAGCUCCUUGAGCGCCUGGUAGACGGAUUGCAUCGCCGGGAGGAGAUUGGACAUGAGCACGGUGUCGUUCCCGGAGAACACCUCGUUGCCGACGGUGAUGGAAGUGAUUAGGGUUUGCGGGAGGUAGGGUUUGACGUUCUGCUCGACCCACGCCCGGGCACUGUUCGGAUCCAUCACGCUCGCCACCUUCCCGUUGUCUAUGGCGACGAUGAACUCCACAUUAGAAUUCUGGAAGGCACUCAGCACGUUGGGAUCGGCGUCGUAGAGCUUCAC